UACAGAGGGUGCAAGCGUUGUUCGGAAUUAUUGGGCGUAAAGCGCGUGUAGGCGGCUUGGUAAGUCGGGUGUGAAAUCUCGGAGCUUAACUCCGAAACUGCAUUCGAUACUGGCGUGCUUGAGGACUGGAGAGGAGACUGGAAUUCAUGGUGUAGCAGUGAAAUGCGUAGAGAUCAUGAGGAAGACCAGUGGCGAAGGCGGGUCUCUGGACAGUUCCUGACACUGAGACACGAAGGCCAGGGGAGCAAACGGG
rnacentral:rRNA from 1 species